GUGGGGUGGGAGAAGCCAGGGCACCUCCCGCCACCCCUCUGGAGCCGCACCCUGGGAGCCUGAGCACCCUCGGGGGCAUUGGAGACACCUCCGCACUAGGAGGUGGGCAAUGUGGGGCUCCUGCGCGGGCUCAGCCAGAUGUUCGCGGCGGCUCCAGAUGUGCCUCCGGUCCCGGGACAGGACUCUCCUCCUCCCCACCCCCCAGCCCGGAGCUCAGUUCCGUUUGGGAGGAAGCUGUGCUGUUCCGGAAGAGACGCCAGGCCUUCCCAGUCUCCGGUUUAAGGCUGUCUUCCAGGAUCUGCUGUCAAGGCUUAUUCCUCAGGGAAUAGCUGUUGGCAAAAGGAGCCUUUCCGGGCCCAGAGCUGGUCUCCGCACCGAGGUGGCCCCAGGGACGUGGAGGAGAGCAGGCAAGCUGCGUGUGGACGGCCGGCUCCCAGCACGCUCUGCGCCGGGGCAAAGGCCGUGGGCUCCGCCACAGACACCCUGCCAGGCUGGGACGGCCACCAUCCACCGGACAGAUGGCCAGGAGGAGGUGCCAGGUCACACAGCCCCCGAACGGCCGAACUGGGGCUCCAGCCCACCUCUGCCGGAGCCCACACUUUCCCUACAGUGGGCCGGGACGUUCCCAGAACACCAAGAUGGUGUAUAUUGUGGAUUUAAAGCCUCAUGAACGGCGAGGGCCUGUGGGCUGCCCCGGGGUUUCAGGAACCGAGGCCACCUUGGCCACUAACUCACUCCUCCAUCUUGACGACGCAGCAGAUUUUACAUUUACAAAACGUGGAUCGUCCUCUCGACUGCAGGUGAGGGAAUAGCGUGCGCCCUCGUGGCGUCCUCAGCUGUGCCGGGAACACACCCUGGGAGCCCGACGGCUGCUGGAGAUGGUCUCUGGGCCACCCGUUAGCCUGAGAUUCCAGGGCUCUGCCGCUUGCUAGCUGCGGGACCCGGCAAGUAACUCCACCUCUCUGGCCUCCAUCCCCUCACCCGCGAAAUGGGGAUAAGAUCGCUUCCGCUCUCAUGGAGUGCUGAACUUAAGUGAGUUAAUAUUUGUAAAGGGCUCCGAAGGACGGCUGGCAUAGGGUGCACACCGCGUGUGUGCCAGCGCACGGUGGGCUGUCCCGGGAGACUGGCGUUAGAAUUGUCCCUGAAGUGCAGGUGUGGAAACGGAGGCAGCAGUACAGUGACUCUCAAACUUAGCGUGAAUCGGAAUCACCCGGAGGGUUCGUGCAAAUGCUAAACACUGGGCUGGGGCCUGAGAGUGUGCAGUUCUCGCGUGUUUCCAGGAGGGGCUGGUGCUGCGGGUCCAGCGGCCGCGCCGUGAAAGCCUGCGCUGGGGCUCUAGUGCGCUGGGCCCGCCGCGCAGCAGCUCCACGAGUGAUCUGGCGUGAGUGAGCGAGCGGUUACAGAGAACAGGCCGGGCGGAGGGCCAGGAGCCUUGGGGUUCUAGUCCUGAAUUUGCUCCUAACUCCCUGGGGGACUUAACCGAGUCCUCUUUCCCCUGCAGCCUUGGUUUUCUCCUGGGGACCUCAGGGGUGACGGUAAUCCCGGCUCACAGGGCUCUGUGAGGAAGAAACAGGGCCUGGUGUCACUGUGACACUCGCUGCAGGAAUGGUGAGAGGGGUCUAGGAGGAGGUGUGGGACCCCAGGGGCUCACUACCAUCCUUCCCUGCCUGCCUUCUCCUCUCCCCACACCGAGGGCUGUAGCUCAUCCCCUUUACUUCUUUCUGGAAGCUGAGUUGGGAAGACGGAGGCCACACUGUCCCCCACUGUCCCCCACGCCCCAGGGCGGCUCGGCAGAGGGCAGCGUGCUUGCUGUGGCCGCAGGCUGCAUAAAGGGGCCUGUGUUCCGGCCGCUCACCUCCCACUGUGCGCCCAGUGGUUUUCUAUUUCAGUUGCUGUAAAAAUAUCACCUUUGAUCUCAGC